GGCUAGGUCAGUGAGAGAUGUACCCCACAAAAGGUUAUUUACAUACCUGGCAAUUUCUCGGGUGACCUGAUGGAUUCGACAUGUCAGGAAACAAUAGGUGCGAUGAAACGUCUGUUUGUUUAUCUUUCACAGGUGCGGCGACUGAAGAAAUAUUGCAUGUAACCGUGUCAGCUGGGAACAAAGCCGUUCAUGUUCAGCCGGAAUGCUCCGAGGGGUGAACUCUUUAGGACAGGGCCGCUGAGGUUGUACCUGCUGUUGGAAGAAGGACACGACGUGGCUGUUGAGUUGGAGGAGGUCGUGUGCCAGAAGCAAGACCACCACUACUACGAGUCGUCCCCUGUGUAAUGUUCAACCAGACUUUCCGCUGCCAUCAUUUCCCCCUGGGAGAUUCUCCACCGUGGUACGGCCUAUAGAGGACCUACGUCAUCACUGACUCAUUCUUUUUCUGUGGGAGGACCUACCCCAGGAUAGGAGCAUUCGCAGUCGGAGUGUCCAAUAUUUGAACCAGUCCGGAGUUUGACUCAAGAGAAACAAACCUCCUGACGUUUUCUUCAAGGAUUCUUGAGUUUCGUACGGAAUCUGCCUUGAACCACAUGUGACGACUAUAAUUCCUUUCUUGAGACGUACCAAGUGGCUACCAUGUGGCAGUGCCAGCUCGCAUCCUUAUGGAUUUUCGAGUGACCCCUUGUUGCGUACAGCCACCGAUAUCGUGGACGCUGUGUGAUUUGGGUGCAUGAUUUAUAAAGUGUGUAAUGUUGUUCGUUCUUGUUGGUUCUGGGCGUUAGUGCUUAUAUUACUGGAACGUGCCGCUGUGCGUUCGUUGUCAUCGUGUAUGCGUGUGUUUACGUUCCGGUGCAAAUUAUUGUAAGUAAACCACGCAGACGGAAAAUUUGACCGACACAGUUUGAUGCAGAGGAGCUGGGAUAUCACAGCCACAGGUCGUGUUGAUAGAGACUACACUGUGGACUACUAGUGGAGGAACGUCAGACUACACUGUGGACUACUAGUGGAGGAACGACGAACCUCGAUCAAUAGUGCUAUGUACACUCAUGAGAAGUGCACAGACGGGAAUGACAUUGAACGACAGCCCACUCUGCCGGUAAGUCCCAUUUUGUUUA